AGGCCUAACACAUGCAAGUCGAGCGGUAGAGAGAAGCUUGCUUCUCUUGAGAGCGGCGGACGGGUGAGUAAUGCCUAGGAAUCUGCCUGGUAGUGGGGGAUAACGUUCGGAAACGGACGCUAAUACCGCAUACGUCCUACGGGAGAAAGCAGGGGACCUUCGGGCCUUGCGCUAUCAGAUGAGCCUAGGUCGGAUUAGCUAGUUGGUGGGGUAAUGGCUCACCAAGGCGACGAUCCGUAACUGGUCUGAGAGGAUGAUCAGUCACACUGGAACUGAGACACGGUCCAGACUCCUACGGGAGGCAGCAGUGGGGAAUAUUGGACAAUGGGCGAAAGCCUGAUCCAGCCAUGCCGCGUGUGUGAAGAAGGUCUUCGGAUUGUAAAGCACUUUAAGUUGGGAGGAAGGGUAGUAGAUUAAUACUCUGCUGUUUUGACGUUACCGACAGAAUAAGCACCGGCUAACUCUGUGCCAGCCGCCGCGGUAAAUAAA
rnacentral:rRNA from 1 species